rnacentral:rRNA from 1 species
UGAAUACGAGACGCUACGGCGUCGAAGCAGUCUAUGUCAUACUUCCAAGAAAAGCUUGCACUGUCAUAAACAAAUAAUGCCUGUACCAUAACCGACACAGGUGGGUAGGUAGAGUAUACUAAGGGGCGCGAGAUAACUCUCUCUAAGGAACUCGGCAAAAUGACUCCGUAACUUCGGGAGAAGGAGUGCCUUAUUCGUAAGGUUGCAAUAACAAGAUCCAAGCAACUGUUUAUCAAAAACACAGGUCUCCGCUAAGUCGUAAGACGAUGUAUGGGGGCUGACGCCUGCCCAGUGCCAGAAGGUUAAAGAAGUUGGUUAGCAUUCGCGAAGCUGAUAACUGAAGCCCUGGUGAACGGCGGCCGUAACAAUAACGGUCCUAAGGUAGCGAAAUUCCUUGUCGGGUAAGUUCCGACCCGCACGAAAGGCGUAAUGAUUUGGAUACUGUCUCGGAGAGAGGCUCGGUGAAAUAGACUUGUCUGUGAAGAUGCGGACUACCUGCACCUGGACAGAAAGACCCUAUGAAGCUUUACUGUAACUUGAAAUUGAAAUUGGACUUUAUUUGCGCAGUAUAGGUGGGAGGCGUUGAGAAUAUUCUUGCGGGAAUAUUGGAGCCAUCAGUGAGAUACCACUCUUGUAAUGUUAGAUUUCUAACUUUGGAUCAUUAUCUGGUCAAAGGACAGUUUCAGGCGGGCAGUUUGACUGGGGCGGUCGCCUCCCAAACGGUAACGGAGGCGUACAAAGGUUUCCUCUGAACGGGUAGAAAUCGUAUCUAGAGUGUAAAGGCAUAAGGAAGCUUGACUGUGAGACCUACAAGUCGAGCAGGGACGAAAGUCGGUCUUAGUGAUCUGACGGUGCUGAGUGGAAAGGCCGUCACUCAACGGAUAAAAGUUACUCUAAGGAUAACAGGCUGAUCUCCCCCAAGAGUUCACAUCGACGGGGAGGUUUGGCACCUCGAUGUCGGCUCAUCGCAUCCUGGGGCGGUAGUACGUCCCAAGGGUUGGGCUGUUCGCCCAUGAAAGCGGUACGCGAGCUGGGUUCAGAACGUCGUGAGACAGUUCGGUCCAUAUCCGGUGUAGGCGUUAGAAUAUUGAGAGGAGCCUUCUUUAGUACGAGAGGACCGAGAAGGACAUACCUCUGGUGUACCAGUUAUCGUGCCAACGGUAAACGCUGGGUAGCUAUGUAUGGAGAGGAUAACCGCUGAAAGCAUCUAAGUGGGAAGCCCACCUCAAGAUAAGUAUUCUC